CCUCACUCUCAGGGCGGGGCGAAAUUCCCCACCGGCGGUAUGCGGAGGAGAUCCGUGAGCCCGCGAGCGCCUUUCCCCUUCGGGCGAAAGGGUCAGCAGAUCAGGUGCGAGGCCUGAGCCGACGGUCAUAGUCCGGAUGAAAGAGAGCAAGA
rnacentral:ncRNA from 1 species